GUACAAAGGUAGCAUAAUAAGUUGUUUUUUAAUUAAAGACUGGAAUGAAAGAAUUGAUGAAAUUUAAACUUUCUAAAAUUUAAAAUUUAAAUUUUUUUAUUAAGUAAAAAGACUUAAAUUGAUUUAUGGGACGAGAAGACCCUAUAGAAUUUUAUAUAGUUUAUCUUAAAAUUUUAUUUAAACUAUAUUUAGUUGGGAGGACUAUUAAAACUAAAAACUUUAAUAUAUUUAAAAUAUUACUUUGAUAAAAGGAAUUUAAAAAUUAAUAAUUUAUAAUUAAUUUAAUAUUAAUUACCUUAGGGAUAACAGCAUAAUAUUUUUUUUUAGAUCAUAUAUAAAAAAUUGUUUAUGACCUCGAUGUUGAAUUAAGAUAAAAUUUGAAAGGAGAUUUUUAAAUUUUUGGU
rnacentral:rRNA from 1 species